GACGAACGCUGGCGGCGUGCUUAACACAUGCAAGUCGAACGGAAAGGCCCUGCUUUUGUGGGGUGCUCGAGUGGCGAACGGGUGAGUAACACGUGAGUAACCUGCCCUUGACUUUGGGAUAACUUCAGGAAACUGGGGCUAAUACCGGAUAGGAGCCCCUGCUGCAUGGUGGGGGUUGGAAAGUUUCGGCGGUGGGGGAUGGAUUCGCGGCUUAUCAGCUUGUUGGUGGGGUAGUGGCUUACCAAGGCUUUGACGGGUAGCCGGCCUGAGAGGGUGACCGGCCACAUUGGGACUGAGAUACGGCCCAGACUCCUACGGGAGGCAGCAGUGGGGAAUAUUGCACAAUGGGCGGAAGCCUGAUGCAGCAACGCCGCGUGCGGGAUGACGGCCUUCGGGUUGUAAACCGCUUUCGCCUGUGACGAAGCGUGAGUGACGGUAAUGGGUAAAGAAGCACCGGCUAACUACGUG
rnacentral:rRNA from 1 species